AUUGAACGCUGGCGGCAUGCUUUACACAUGCAAGUCGAACGGUAACAGGCCGCAAGGUGCUGACGAGUGGCGAACGGGUGAGUAAUGCAUCGGAACGUGCCCAGUCGUGGGGGAUAACUGCUCGAAAGAGCAGCUAAUACCGCAUACGAUCUAUGGAUGAAAGCGGGGGACCGGAAGGCCUCGCGCGAUUGGAGCGGCCGAUGGAAGAGUAGGUAGUUGGUGGGGUAAAGGCUCACCAAGCCAACGAUCUGUAGCUGGUCUGGGAGGACGACCAGCCACACUGGGACUGAGAAACGGCCCAGACUCCUACGGGAGGCAGCAGUGGGGAAUUUUGGACAAUGGGGGCAACCCUGAUCCAGCAAUGCCGCGUGCAGGAAGAAGGCCUUCGGGUUGUAAACUGCUUUUGUACGGAACGAAACGGUCUGGGUUAAUACCCUGGGCUAAUGACGGUACCGUAAGAAUAAGCACCGGCUAACUACGUGCCAGCAGCCGCCGUAACAC
rnacentral:rRNA from 1 species